UCGUUCAAAGGAAUUGAGACAAGAUCUUCAAUUGGCUCACCCCGUUCUUCAGCAAGGUCGUCGCGGGUGUCUAAUCCAUCAACCGGACAGGGGUCAGACUGAUCAUUUCUUUGUAAGGUUAUGUUAUAGCAGUAUCUUGCCAGGACUUGAUCUCCUCUGACCUCUCCGACCCCUUGGCUUGUAGAAAAUUUCAAUUUCAAAUGGUAGGUCGAUACCACAGCUCGGAGGGCGUUGAGGCCAGAUCGGUCGAGUAUUGCGUUGUAGGCAGACGGC
rnacentral:lncRNA from 1 species